AGAGUUUGAUCCUGGCUCAGGAUGAACGCUGGCGGCGUGCUUAACACAUGCAAGUCGAACGGGAAACAUUUCAUUGAAGCUUCGGCAGAUUUGGUCUGUUUCUAGUGGCGGACGGGUGAGUAACGCGUGGGUAACCUGCCUUAUACUGGGGGAUAACAGCCAGAAAUGGCUGCUAAUACCGCAUAAGCGCACAGGACCGCAUGGUCCGGUGUGAAAAACUCCGGUGGUAUAAGAUGGACCCGCGUUGGAUUAG
rnacentral:rRNA from 1 species